rnacentral:rRNA from 1 species
AAUAUUGGACAAUGGGUGGAAGCCUGAUCCAGCCAUCCCGCGUGAAGGAAUAAGGGCCUAUGGCUUGUAAACUUCUUUUGUACAGGGAUAAACCUACCCUCGUGAGGGUAGCUGAAGGUACUGUACGAAUAAGCACCGGCUAACUCCGUGCCAGCAGCCGCGGUAAUACGGAGGGUGCAAGCGUUAUCCGGAUUUAUUGGGUUUAAAGGGUCCGUAGGCGGGCUUAUAAGUCAGUGGUGAAAGCCGGCAGCUUAACUGUCGAACUGCCAUUGAUACUGUAAGUCUUGAGUAUAUUUGAGGUAGCUGGAAUAAGUAGUGUAGCGGUGAAAUGCAUAGAUAUUACUUAGAACACCAAUUGCGAAGGCAGGUUACCAAGUUAUAACUGACGCUGAUGGACGAAAGCGUGGGGAGCGA